rnacentral:rRNA from 1 species
AUCCGGGUUGCGGACAGUGUCUGGUGGGUAGUUUGACUGGGGCGGUCUCCUCCUAAAGAGUAACGGAGGAGCACGAAGGUUGGCUAAUCCUGGUCGGACAUCAGGAGGUUAGUGCAAUGGCAUAAGCCAGCUUGACUGCGAGCGUGACGGCGCGAGCAGGUGCGAAAGCAGGUCAUAGUGAUCCGGUGGUUCUGAAUGGAAGGGCCAUCGCUCAACGGAUAAAAGGUACUCCGGGGAUAACAGGCUGAUACCGCCCAAGAGUUCAUAUCGACGGCGGUGUUUGGCACCUCGAUGUCGGCUCAUCACAUCCUGGGGCUGAAGUAGGUCCCAAGGGUAUGGCUGUUCGCCAUUUAAAGUGGUACGCGAGCUGGGUUUAGAACGUCGUGAGACAGUUCGGUCCCUAUCUGCCGUGGGCGCUGGAGAACUGAGGGGGGCUGCUCCUAGUACGAGAGGACCG